AAAGAAGAUCUGGAAAAAGGCAGAGAAAGGUGUACUUGUGUAAUAUCACUUGGCUCUUCCAGGAGCUUCUGUGGUGAACUGAACGUUUUCCUCUGGAUAAUACGCUUACGUAGUGGGGAGGUGGAGUCCCCAGGGUGCUGAACUCAUCUGUGCUGCUCGUGACAGCUCCUCUGCGUCCCUGGGAACCACCUCCUGGUCCUAGCGUGUGACAGGACAGCUUGGACUUAACCAUUCCGUGAGGACUCAACAUUAAAUCAAGAUUUAAAGCAGUGCUGGACUAGGAAGUGUGAGCUGUGAGAUAAUUCACUGGUUGUUGUAAAUAUCACUAGAAGAGCUGGUCAGAAG